GGGCGGAAGCCUGAUGCAGCAACGCCGCGUGAGGGUCGACGGCCUUCGGGUUGUAAACCUCUUUUAGCAGGGAAGAAGCGAAAGUGACGGUACCUGCAGAAAAAGCGCCGGCUAACUACGUGCCAGCAGCCGCGGUAAUACGUAGGGCGCAAGCGUUAUCCGGAAUUAUUGGGCGUAAAGAGCUCGUAGGCGGUCUGUCGCGUCUGCUGUGAAAACCCGAGGCUCAACCUCGGGCCUGCAGUGGGUACGGGCAGACUAGAGUGCGGUAGGGGAGAUUGGAAUUCCUGGUGUAGCGGUGGAAUGCGCAGAUAUCAGGAGGAACACCGAUGGCGAAGGCAGAUCUCUGGGCCGUAACUGACGCUGAGGAGCGAAAGGGUGGGGAGCAAACAGGCUUAGAUACCCUGGUAGUCCACCCCGUAAACGUUGGGAACUAGUUGUGGGGGCCUUUCCACGGUCUCCGUGACGCAGCUAACGCAUUAAGUUCCCCGCCUGG
rnacentral:rRNA from 1 species